rnacentral:rRNA from 1 species
UACAGAGGGUGCGAGCGUUGUCCGGAAUCACUGGGCGUAAAGGGCGCGUAGGUGGCACGACAAGUCAGUGGUGAAAGCUCGACGCUCAACGUCGAGUCGGCCACUGAUACUGUUGAGCUGGAGCACUGUAGAGGCAGAUGGAAUUCCGGGUGUAGCGGUGGAAUGCGUAGAGAUCCGGAAGAACACCGGUGGCGAAGGCGGUCUGCUGGGCAGUAGCUGACACUGAGGCGCGACAGCGUGGGGAGCAAACAGG